CGGUGGACUGAUUACGAGUGAGAAUGUUGGCAUUAGUAGCGAGAUGUAGGUGAGAAUCCUACAGGCCGAAUAUCUAAGGUUUCCUCAGGAAGGCUCGUCCGCUGAGGGUUAGUCGGGACCUAAGCCGAGGCCGAAAGGCGUAGGCGAUGGACAACAGGUUGAUAUUCCUGUACCACUACCAUCGUUAUUAUCGAGGGUGUGACGGAGAAGGAUAGUGUGUGCUAGCGAUUGGAAAUGCUAGUCUAAGCGUUUAGGCAGUUACGGUAGGCAAAUCCGCUGUAACGUUAAUGCUGAGGCGUGAUGGGGAAGGCCCUUGAGGCUGAAGUACAUGAUUCCAUGCUUCCAAGAAAAGCAUCUAGAGAGAGAAGUAGUGCCCGUACCGCAAACCGACACAGGUAGAUGAGGAGAGAAUCCUAAGGCCGGCGGAAGAAUUGCAGUUAAGGAACUAGGCAAAUUGACCCCGUAAGUUAGCGAGAAGGGGUGCCUGCGAGAGCAGGCCGCAGAGAAUAGGCCCAAGCAACUGUUUAGCAAAAACACAGGUCUCUGCUAAAGCGCAAGCUGAUGUAUAGGGGCUGACGCCUGCCCGGUGCUGGAAGGUUAAGGGGAACACUUAGCGCAAGCGAAGGUGUGAACUUAAGCCCCAGUAAACGGCGGCCGUAACUAUAACGGUCCUAAGGUAGCGAAAUUCCUUGUCAGGUAAGUUCUGACCCGCACGAAUGGCGUAAUGACUUGGGCACUGUCUCAACUGCAAAUCCGGCGAAGUUGUAGUGCGAGUGAAGAUGCUCGCUACCCGCGAUUGGACGGAAAGACCCCGUAGAGCUUUACUGUAGCUUAGCAUUGAAUUCCGGUAUUGUCUGUACAGGAUAGGUGGGAGACUGGGAAACUAGGGCGUCAGCCUUAGUGGAGUCAACCUUGGGAUACCACCCUGACAGUACUGGGGUUCUAACAGGACGCCAUGAAUCUGGUGACUGGACAUUGUUAGGUGGGCAGUUUGACUGGGGCGGUCGCCUCCUAAAAAGUAACGGAGGCGCCCAAAGGUUCCCUCAGAACGGUCGGAAAUCGUUCGUAGAGUGCAAAGGCAGAAGGGAGCCUGACUGCGAGACCUACAAGUCGAGCAGGGACGAAAGUCGGGCUUAGUGAUCCGGUGGUACCUCGUGGGAGGGCCAUCGCUCAACGGAUAAAAGCUACCUCGGGGAUAACAGGCUGAUCUCCCCCAAGAGUCCACAUCGACGGGGAGGUUUGGCACCUCGAUGUCGGCUCGUCGCAUCCUGGGGCUGUAGUAGGUCCCAAGGGUUGGGCUGUUCGCCCAUUAAAGCGGCACGCGAGCUGGGUUCAGAACGUCGUGAGACAGUUCGGUCCCUAUCCGUCGCGGGCGUAGGAAAUUUGAGAGGAGCUGUCCUUAGUACGAGAGGACCGGGAUGGACUGACCUCUGGUGCACCAGUUGUUCUGCCAAGAGCAUGGCUGGGUAGCUAAGUCGGGAAGGGAUAAACGCUGAAAGCAUCUAAGCGUGAAGCCCCCCUCAAGAUGAGAUUUCCCAUAGCAUAAGCUAGUAAGACCCCUUGAAGAACACAAGGUUGAUAGGUCAGAGGUGGAAGUGCGGUAACGUAUGUAGCUGACUGAUACUAAUAGGUCGAGGGCUUGACCA
rnacentral:rRNA from 1 species